GAUCUGGCUCAGGAUGAACGCUAGCUACAGGCUUAACACAUGCAAGUCGAGGGGCAGCGGGAUUGAAGCUUGCUUCAAUUGCCGGCGACCGGCGCACGGGUGAGUAACGUGUAUCCAACCUUCCGUACACUCAGGGAUAGCCUUUCGAAAGAAAGAUUAAUACCUGAUGGUAUCUUAAGCACACAUGUAAUUAAGAUUAAAGAUUUAUCGGUGUACGAUGGGGAUGCGUUCCAUUAGGUAGUAGG
rnacentral:rRNA from 1 species